GAACCCUAAAAAGGUUAGUAUGUCAUAACCGUGUAUCAUAAAUCAAUGAGUCAAAUUUAAAUGGUGUUUUGAGGUCAAGUUUCAUUUGCAAACAAAAAAAAACUCAUCAAAGCUUUAAAUUUAAUGGGAAAAAGUGUGCUUUCGGACGGUAUUGACCGCUAAAAAACUAAGGUACGUGUGGUCGAAUAUUUCGAUACAUUUCUUCAUUGUCGCCUCGAAUGUGACGACAAAAGACGGAGUUCCUUCGGAUCGAUACAACACAUUCGCAAAUGACUCGGAGUUAGUGUCAUCAGUUGCUGAAGACGGUCCGAGUUGAGAUGACACUCCAGUCACAUAUUGGUCAAUUGCUGUCAUAGCAAAUGUAUUUUCGUUGGAACCUGGUCCAGGAAUUCAGAGCUGGUGGUUCUCCGUUGGAGUGUUCGUAGCUGGAAAUGAGUCUUCGACUCUCGUCAGGUUCCAAUCGGACAAAACGCCAUCCAAUGACGUUUCGUCGUUCACAAUGAGCUCCAUCCAAAAUUCUUCGGACUGCGAUAGUAGGACGUCUUCCAGAAAACGAAUACCGACUGGCGGCGCCUGUUCAUAAUUGAUCGUUCUGCCGAUACUUAAAUCAGCCGCAGUUUCGCUGGCCAUGAUAAAUGGUCGUCUUUGAUUACACUGUACGCACAAUAUCUACAAUCUUGAAUUAUUUUUAUAUAUUUUAUGGAUGAAAUACAAUUUUUCACUUACUUUAUGUGAGAGCAC